CAAGUGUAGUAUCUGUUCUUAUCAGU
rnacentral:piRNA from 6 species